GGUGAAGAACAAGGUCAGAGGCAUCUACUUUUCUACUUAUGACUUCUGGAGCUUUCUUCGAUGGAUCUAGGGUUUGCGGUGAUCUCUUCUUGCACUGCCGGCGGGCGAUUUGAUCUUGGGUUUCUUUAUCCAACGAUCGUUCGGAGGAUCGGGAGUUUUUGUAGGGGAGUGACGUUCCAAGGUGGAUGAUUUGGCUUUAUAUAUUGAUCUCCAUCUGAUCUGCGAAGAAGAAGGCUGCAGAAUCACGAGCAUCCUCAUGUAUGUUCAUUUGGCGCGCUCAAUGAGCUUUGCUCUUUUUUCAGAGUUGAGCACCGCUGUUGGGUUAGAUAAUCCAUGAGCCCCAAUAUCUGAUCUGUAUGUAUCUGAACUAUGAAGUACAUGACGCUGUUUGGGUUCUCCGUUGCCACUUCUUAUGUGCAUCCCUUGGAGCAAGUGAUGAUAAGAAUUAGCUGUUGAUUGAGAGAAAUUAUUCCGUGCGGAGUCUGGACGGUAAAGAAAUGUCCAGAUGUGAGUGUACACUAAGUAUAGUUUCGAGCAUAGUUUGAUUUUUUUAAUACACAGUGUAUACGAACACUGUGUACACUCACAUUCAGAUGAUUCUUUACCGUCCAGA